rnacentral:tRNA from 1 species
GCCCCUAUAGCUCAGUGGACUAGAGCAGUGCUCUCGGAGGCAUUGGUCGCAGGUUCGAAUCCUGCUAGGGGGC